AUGGGAUUCGCUAGUAGGUGGGGUAACGGCUCACCUAGGCGACGAUCCCUAGCUGGUCUGAGAGGAUGACCAGCCACACUGGAACUGAGACACGGUCCAGACUCCUACGGGAGGCAGCAGUGGGGAAUAUUGCACAAUGGGCGCAAGCCUGAUGCAGCCAUGCCGCGUGUAUGAAGAAGGCCUUCGGGUUGUAAAGUACUUUCAGCGAGGAGGAAGGUGGUGAGUUUAAUACACUCAUCAAUUGACGUUACUCGCAGAAGAAGCACCGGCUAACUCCGUGCCAGCAGCCGCGGUAAUACGGAGGGUGCAAGCGUUAGUCGGAAUUACUGGGCGUAAAGCGCACGCAGGCGGUCUGUCAAGUCGGAUGUGAAAUCCCCGGGCUCAACCUGGGAACUGCAUCCGAAACUGGCAGGCUUGAGCCUCGUAGAGGGGGGUAGAAUUCCAGGUGUAGCGGUGAAAUGCGUAGAGAUCUGGAGGAAUACCGGUGGCGAAGGCGGCCCCCUGG
rnacentral:rRNA from 1 species